rnacentral:rRNA from 1 species
UAGAGGAAGUAAAAGUCGUAACAAGGUUUCCGUAGGUGAACCUGCGGAAGGAUCAUUAUUGAAUAAACCUGAUGUGGCUGUUAGCUGGCUUUUCGAAGCAUGUGCUCGUCCGUCAUCUUUAUCUCUCCACCUGUGCACAUUUUGUAGUCUUGGAUAACUCUCGAGGCAACUCGGAUUUUAGAAUCGCCGUGCUGYACAAGUCGGCUUUCCUUUCAUUUCCAAGACUAUGUUUUUAUAUACACCAAAGUAUGUUCAAAGAAUGUCAUCAAUGGGAACUUGUUUCCUAUAAAAUUAUACAACUUUCAGCAACGGAUCUCUUGGCUCUCGCAUCGAUGAAGAACGCAGCGAAAUGCGAUAAGUAAUGUGAAUUGCAGAAUUCAGUGAAUCAUCGAAUCUUUGAACGCACCUUGCGCUCCUUGGUAUUCCGAGGAGCAUGCCUGUUUGAGUGUCAUUAAAUUCUCAACCUUCCAACUUUUAUUAGCUUGGUUAGGCUUGGAUGUGGGGGUUGCGGGCUUCAUUAACGAGGUCGGCUCUCCUUAAAUGCAUUAGCGGAACUUUUGUGGACCGUCUAUUGGUGUGAUAAUUAUCUACGCCGUGGAUGUGAAGCAGCUUUAUGAAGUUCAGCUUCUAACCGUCCAUUUAUUUGGACAAUUUUUGACAAUUGACCUC